rnacentral:tRNA from 1 species
UAGCUCAGUCAGUAGAGCAUAGCGCUAACAACGCUAAGGUAACGGGUUCGAUUCCCAU